rnacentral:rRNA from 1 species
GACGAACGCUGGCGGCGUGCUUAACACAUGCAAGUCGAACGGAAAGGCCCCUUUUGGGGUACUCGAGUGGCGCACGGGUGAGUAACACGUGCGUAACCUGCCCUUGACUUCGGGUUAACUUCAGGAAACUGGGGCUAAUACCGGCUAGGAAUCCUUUCUGCAUGGUGGGGGUUGGAAAGCUUCGGCGGGUUUGGAUGGACUCGCGGCUUAUCCGCCUGGUGGUGGGGUAGUGGGUUACCAAGGAUUGCUCGGGUAGGCGGCCUGAGGGGGCGACCGGCCACAUUGGGACUGAGGUACGGCCCAGACUCCUACGGGAGGCAGCGGUGGGGAAUAUUGCACAAUGGGCGGAAGCCUGAUGCAGCCACGCCGCGUGCGGGAUGACGGCCUUCGGGUUGUAAACCGCUUUCAGCAGGGGCGAAGCUUGUGGUGACGGUACCUGCAGAAGAAGCACCGGCUAACUACGUG